AGAGUUUGAUCCUGGCUCAGGACGAACGCUGGCGGCGUGCUUAACACAUGCAAGUCGAACGGUGAAAGCGGAGCUUGCUCCGCUGGAUCAGUGGCGAACGGGUGAGUAACACGUGGGCAACCUGCCCCUCACUUCGGGAUAACUCCGGGAAACCGGGGCUAAUACCGAAUACGACCUCUGCGGGCAUCCGCGGAGGUGGAAAGUUUUUCGGUGAGGGAUGGGCCCGCGGCCUAUCAGCUUGUUGGUGAGGUAGUGGCUCACCAAGGCGACGACGGGUAGCCGGCCUGAGAGGGCGACCGGCCACACUGGGACUGAGACACGGCCCAGACUCCUACGGGAGGCAGCAGUGGGGAAUAUUGCGCAAUGGGCGAAAGCCUGACGCAGCAACGCCGCGUGCGGGAUGACGGCCUUCGGGUUGUAAACCGCUUUCAGCAGGGAAGAAGCCGCAAGGUGACGGUACCUGCAGAAGAAGCACCGGCUAACUACGUGCCAGCAGCCGCGGUAAUACGUAGGGUGCAAGCGUUGUCCGGAUUUAUUGGGCGUAAAGAGCUCGUAGGCGGUCUGUUACGUCGGUUGUGAAAACUCGGGGCUUAACCCCGAGCCUGCAUCCGAUACGGGCAGACUUGAGUGUGGUAGGGGAGACUGGAAUUCCUGGUGUAGCGGUGGAAUGCGCAGAUAUCAGGAGGAACACCGAUGGCGAAGGCAGGUCUCUGGGCCAAUACUGACACUGAGGAGCGAAAGCGUGGGGAGCGAACAGGAUUAGAUACCCUGGUAGUCCACGCCGUAAACGGUGGGCGCUAGUUGUGCGAACCUUCCACGGUUUGUGCGACGCAGCUAACGCAUUAAGCGCCCCGCCUGGGGGAGUACGAUCGCAAGAUUAAAACUCAAAGGAAUUGACGG
rnacentral:rRNA from 1 species